CUAAACAGGUACAGAAAGUAUGGGCUGCUCCAGGAAUUUAUGCAGCUGCUAAAAGAAUAACAAAUAGCUGCCCGACCUGCCAGAAGUUUUCAAAUAACAAGCUGUGGCGGACAGAUGAGUGAACUUUUGCCUUAAACAUUUCUUGGUACAUAAGGUGCAAGCAAACCAAAACCCCAAACAAGCCAUCUGUUCCCAGCGGAAACAGGACUGAGCUGCUGCGACCCCUGAAAUGGUCUCCCUGCGACCAUUCGGGACACACCGAGCCUGCGCUGAACCGGACCACGAUCGGACAGAGACUUUGGGACCUGGACUGCAAAUUACUGCCGCUUAACACAACUUUUAUAAAACUUGCUUAGCCGCACUCCCUAGUUCAGUGAGAAAGGGCCCCAGAGCUGGUGCAGACUGGAAAGAUAAGGGAGUUACAAGCAGUUUGCAUUCCUGUGUGUCACACUCCAGGAGGGAGGAUGUCAAGGCUUUGAAAUAAGGCCUGCUUGGGCGCCAGGACCCUGGGAAACACAGCCUCCCCUCACUGCUGAAACAGUGUUAAUUAGGGGGGGUCUGGAUUAUAUCCUCCUCGUCAGGACCUUGGAAGAUAACACCUAUUGUCACUGCUGGGGCAGUGCUAAUUGCUGGAACAACACCUGUUGGUCAGGGCCCUGAGAAAGAAGGGCAGAACCCGAGGAAUCAACACAUUUGUCAGCAGAAACCGCAACAGUAAAGAUAAGGGAGAAAAGCAGCCUGCCUGGGAACAACGAUGAGACCCAAUAGGGAGCAGGAGACCCCAGACCCAAAAAUUACUAUUGGUCUGAACUACCGCGUGAGGGGCGGGAAACUUAAUUUGAAAAAAGCUAUAAUUGCCCAGGGAUUUCUUUGUUCAGGGUCCCUCUUUGGAGGCACCCAACUCGAGCUGUAACUACUGCACGUGUGUCAUUCCAAACUUUUCAGCGGGAACCUAGGGUCGGACCCUGCUCGAGUUGUAAUUACUGCACGCGUAUCGCUAAAAUUUACACCCAGGGUGAAGAGGACCAACGGGACGCCGCUGGAUCCACGGGUGGAAAAGAGAAUUGGAUUCACCACUCUCACGUGAAACGAGUGACAGUCCAAGAAGCAAGCACAGCAGAGGUUGCAGCAGAACAAUGAAGACAACCACGUAAAGCUCGAUGGGAUACACGACUUCCCCAGGGUAAUCUGUUGGGACUCGCCUCACUAACACAAAUCUCUUUCCCUCUACUGCACCCUGCAGGAUGGCAGGCAGAAGUGCCGUGCUCAUGUUGCUGUUUCAAACCCUGGCAAUGCUACUUUCCCUAAGCUGUGGUCAAAGAACCUUAGAGUGGCCAUGGUCCCAGGCCCGUGUUAAGUAUACCGGAAGUAUGGGAUCAAAUUCUACUAAAAACUGAAACCUCUCAACCCUGGUCAUGCAUGGAACUGAAGUAUACUCAGAAAAUGAAUGGAGCUGGGAUAAUACUAACCAACUUCCCCAACUCCUGGGAGGGACAGGAAAGGAAAUAAAGAUAGGGUGUCGAAUGAUCAACGGGUCCACCCACGAGAAGGCGACUCAAAUCUCUCUCACUAAAAUCAAAUCAAAUGAAAAAGAAAGGAAAAUUUGUGCCACUGAAAACCUGGAUUGUUGGUACAAUUUUACCUUAGAACAGCCUGUUUUAAUAGUUUGUCUGUGGGCUCACCACAAUGUGGGACUAUCAUUUGAAUUUAAAAUAGACAUUAUUGAGCCCAGUACAGCAAUACCUACCCUGACUACAAUUAUUUCCACCAAUAUAAAUAACUCUGUUACCAUGAAGAGUAAGAAAACCUUAUCCCCACAAAAUUUUGAAAUUGGACCGUAUGUGAUUAGAAAUACAGGCCAACAAUGAGUGUUAUUUAAUCCAUCAUGGUCUCUCAAAUGAGUAGAGCUAUUAAUGCAAAUUAAUAUCUCUACAAUCAAACCGACCUGUUCACCAUUCUUAGGUACGUCCUAUGUGGGAUGGACGGCGUGGUUACAUAGGCGAACCCUCACCUCUCCAAAACGAACAAGGAGAGAUGUGACCGGUAUCAUAGGAACAGGAUUGGGAGUCCUAAACAGUAUAGAUGCUGAAGUACUCGUAAAUAAACUGAGCACAACAACAAGUGACUUAUACAGAUUAAAACAUCCAUUGAAGUCUUCCUUAUUAGCAUUAGGAACUAACCAAUGGCUUUCAUCUGAGAUAUUACCUCAAUGGGAAAAAAUGAAUGAAAAAGAUCACCAAUUGAUAAUAGAUGCACUUGGGGAAGCCCAAAUUAAUAGUUCCCUGGCCCUCAGUUGCAUCCAAGCUCAACUGUGGAUGCAAUCUAUGGCAGCAGCGAUUAUAAGGGAAGGGGAAGAGGGCACUUUACCCACUGAAAUUCAAAAGGUAAUUUGGGAUAAUGCGACCAAAUUUGAAAAGGAAUUCCAAUCCUGGUGGUAUCUGGUCAAUUUUACUUAUGAUCCUAUCAACACUAAGGCCACAGCCUUUGUUUUAACAAUACGUAAUGCUUCAACAUAUACAAUAUAUCCAAUCAUUGCGUUAGGAUUAAAUCACCAUGGAGCUAUACUCUAUCCAUUGGAACAUAGAGUAUGGGCCCAACAAAAUGGAAAUAAAUGGCAAACUGUGGACGUUAGCGCAUGUAUUGUACAGGAACAGCAAGGGUUUAUUUGUGAAAGUAAUACUAUCAAAGCCCAAGACAUUUGUCUUGACACUGAGCAAAAUGUUUGUCAUUUUGAAAUACACCCUGAUAAAACACCUGAAACUAUACUUGUAUAUAUUGGGAGAGGGUGCGUAUGUAUGAGAAUCUUUUGUAGUCUUAUAGUUAUAGAUGGCAUUGUAGUAGAUAUGAGUAAUCAUUCAAAUAUUUGUAUUUGUAACUUUACCAAAAUCAUGGGAUGUGAUUUCAAUUAUUCAGCUCCUAUCACGUCUUAUCAAUUGUUACAAUCUAAUUAUACAUUAAUUCAAAAUUUACUACCUACCCCCAUUGGGAUGAAUCUCACCCUGGUAAAGAAACUACUACAACAUGAUGAUUUGCAUCGACUGCUAGAGCGCAUCCGGAACAGUGGACAGAAAACUCUAAUCACUGUUCACCAUGAUGCAAAAGAGAUACAUCAUAUCUUAGAAAGGGUAAAAAGGGACGGAGAACAUCAUGGCUGGGAAACUCUUCUAGGGUGGUCACCAACCGCAACAGGGAUUUAUAAUCAUGUAUUGCACCCAGUAGUAGUUGUGUUAAGUUUAACUGUUAUGCCUAUUGCUUACGAUCAUAUUAUACAUAAGAUUAUGGAAAGUGAUAGUAUGCCUCGAAAGACUUCGAGAACUCUGUUUAAAAUAUUAGCAGGGAUGCUUCAUAAAAACAAAGGGGGGAAACUGUUAAAGAAUAGUGAAUUGAAACUGUCUAGAAAUGGCUGCUUAGCACAACUUAUAUAAAACUUGCUUAGCAUGAGUGGCUAGAUUUGCUGAAGCCUUAGGCCAAGCGUGGGAAAAGUAACGAAUCUUUACUUAGUUUAAUAAAAAAUAGUGCCUCAGAGCUCGUUCAGGCUGGGCAGAUAAGGGAGCCACACGCAGUCUGCGCACCUGUGUCACCGACUCCGAGAGGGAAAACGCCAAAACAAUGGGGAAAAAUAAGACCUUGGGAGACAACUGCCAGACCCAACAAAAACAGAGGUACAACCGUCAUCAGAGACUGCAAAAAACAAGAAUAAGGAGAAAAACAGCUUGCCUCAGAAAGAUGAUGAGACCCAAUGAGGAGCAGGAGACCCCAGACCAAAAAAUUACUAUUGGUCUAACUAUCGCGUGAGGGGUGGGAAAUGGAAGUCGAAAAGACUAUAAUUACCCAGAAUUUGUUUAUGUUAGGGUCCCUCUUCGGAGGCACCCAGCUCGAGCUGUAAUUACGGCACGCGCGUGAUUAAAAUUAUCUGAUUUGUUUUCA